UGUCUCUCUAGUUUCUAAUCCACUGC
rnacentral:piRNA from 1 species